CACCUUUCUCCCUCUCUCCUCUCUUUGGAAAAAUAUCCCCAAACCCUGCUAACCCUAACCUUCUUCCACAAGGUACCAUCGGCGAUAGAUUUCUGCCUCCGUCGCCUCCAACCUUCAUUGAUGCACCCAUCGCAGGUUCAGAUCUGUUCUAGCUACUUUUCCAUGUUUGCUUCUUCUGAUUCAGAUCCUCUGCCAAAGCUCCACGUCGGACGAGCCUCUCGACUUUGGAGCUGCAGAUUCAGACUCCGCGUGCCUCUGUUCUAGCUUUUGCUUGCUAUUGGUGUCUCUUUCCUUUUAUUCUGCUCAUUACUUCUGGUUUGUUCUUUUUGGUUUGAUUUAAUUUGUUCUGAACUUUCUUUCUAUGCACUUUGAAAUUGGCUUUGCUUCAUCCAUGGUAAUUCAAUUCGAUUCUUCGAAUUUUAACGCAUUCCUUAUGAUAACCAUUCCCAUUUCUGUUCCUAUUCCACAAUUGUGCACCUUCACUACUACCGUAAUUGAAAUUGUUAUUAUUAUUAUUAUUAUUAUUUGUUUAAUUUUUAACCUUCUCUUCCAAAGUAUGAAGUAGGAUUUUGAUUGGAAAAUUGGCAUUGUAUUAUUGUGUUGUGUUGUUGUUUCAUUUUAAGCCCUACUAUUUUGCAUGUUUUUUCUAGGUUCUUCUACAGCUAGAUCCGUUUCUCAAUAAACUCACCAGGAUGUUCGAGCGAAGCACUGAGACGGGCUCUGUUUGAGUUACACUUAAAUGAUCAUCCUUGAAGUCUCAAGCCGUUAGGAAUAAAAUGGCAACUGCUGGUGAAGCAAUUGAGUAUAGAUGCCUUAUCCAAUUGAGUAUAGAUGCCUUAUCCAUGCCACCAAUGGAAAAAAGACAAUCUCUACUUCGGAAAGGAGACUACUAUCGGUAUGUAGCGGAAUUUAAAGAUGCUGAUGAGAAAAAAGAGGUGGCAUAUCAGUCACUUAAAGCAUAUGAGGUCCAGAGGUUGAUGUAAAUGGGAAUGGCUCAUUGAAGUUGAAGCCAAGUGAGACCAGAGGAAAGAACAUCCAAUGCAGAGGUUCGGAAUUUGGCAAAUUAGAUGUACAUUACUGGUCAAUAAAUUGGUGACAUUAUCAAGAUGCUACUGCACCAGCACUUCCAGAUUUUCAAGACAAGCAGAAAAGGAUCAAUGCAAUUGAAGAGGGUCUAUUAUUAUACUUAUUAUUUUUAUAGUUCAUAUUAUUAUUAUUGCCAUUGUGAUUAUUAUUAUUAAAAUCUAUACCCAUUGGUUUUUAGUACGAUAUCUUAUAUUGUCUCUAUUAUUAUUAUUAUUA